ACAAUUUUAUUAUAAAAAGUAAAUUUAAUUUCCAAUUAAAAAGUCCUGGCAAGGAAAUUGUA
rnacentral:tRNA from 1 species